rnacentral:lncRNA from 1 species
AGCAGUUCUCUUGCCUCAGCCUCCCAAGUAACUGGUACUACAGUUUGUCCUCGGCUGUUACAGAGAAUUGAUACAAAAAAUGAUCAUGUGAAGAAUUUGCAUCUUCUGCAGAACUACCGGUAUCAGUCAGCAGUAGGAGAUUGUAUAAAUUCAGCCUGAGAUUCCAGAAUAUUCUGUGUAUUGACCACCACAGCAAGAAGAAAAAGUCCAUGUAGGACUGAAAUCAAGGAAUGACACUCUGCUUACAAGCUUAAAAUCGCUGGACUACAAAGUUACAGUGAUCAAGUCAGUACAGUAUUAGCACGUGGAUAGACUCACAGAUCUUUGGCACAGACCUGACAAUCCUGAAAAGCUCAUCUUUAUAUGGCUAAUUGAUUUUCA